AACGAACGCUGGCGGCAUGCCUAACACAUGCAAGUCGAACGAGACCUUCGGGUCUAGUGGCGCACGGGUGCGUAACGCGGGGGAACCUGCCCUUAGGUUCGGAAUAACUCCCCGAGAGGGGUGCUAAGACCGGAUAAUUUCUUCGGACCAAAGAGUUGUCGAGUUUGGGUGGGCCCGCGUUGGAUUAGCUAGUUGGUAGGGUAAAAGCCUACCAAGGCGACGAUACAUAGCUGGGCAGAGAGGAUGGGCAGCCACACUGGGACUGGGAAGCGGCCCGGAAUCUUACGGGAGGCAGGAGUGGGGGAUAUUGGAAAAUGGGGGAAGGGCUGAUGCAGCAAGGCUGGGAGAGUGAUGAAGGCCGUAGAGUUGUAAAGCUCUUUUACCCGGGAGGAUAAUGACAGUACCGGGAGAAUAAGCACCGGCUAACUACGUG
rnacentral:rRNA from 1 species